rnacentral:tRNA from 1 species
AGCUGGUUAGAGCAUCCGACUCAUCCUUCUACCCAAAACCGGGGCAGGUCGACAGUUCAAGUCUGUCCGGGCCCACCA